rnacentral:rRNA from 1 species
AGAGUUUGAUCCUGGCUCAGGACGAACGCUGGCGGCACGCUUAACACAUGCAAGUCGAACGGAGAAUAUCGAAGCUUGCUUUGAUAUUCUUAGUGGCGGACGGGUGAGUAACACGUGAGUAACCUGCCUCUGAGAGUGGGAUAGCUUCUGGAAACGGAUGGUAAUACCGCAUGAAAUAAUAGUAUCGCAUGGUACCAUGAUCAAAGAUUUAUCGCUCAGAGGUGGACUCGCGUCUGAUUAGCUAGUUGGUAAGGUAACGGCUUACCAAGGCGACGAUCAGUAGCCGGACUGAGAGGUUGAUCGGCCACAUUGGGACUGAGACACGGCCCAGACUCCUACGGGAGGCAGCAGUGGGGAAUAUUGCACAAUGGGGGAAACCCUGAUGCAGCGACGACGCGUGGAGGAAGAAGGUCUUCGGAUUGUAAACUCCUGUUGUUGAGGAAGAUAAUGACGGUACUCAACAAGGAAGUGACGGCUAACUACGUGCCAGCAGCCGCGGUAAAACGUAGGUCACAAGCGUUGUCCGGAAUUACUGGGUGUAAAGGGAGCGCAGGCGGGAAGACAAGUUGGAAGUGAAAUCCAUGGGCUCAACCUAUGAACUGCUUUCAAAACUGUUUUUCUUGAGUAGUGCAGAGGUAGGCGGAAUUCCCGGUGUAGCGGUGGAAUGCGUAGAUAUCGGGAGGAACACCAGUGGCGAAGGCGGCCUACUGGGCACCAACUGACGCUGAGGCUCGAAAGUGUGGGUAGCAAACAGGAUUAGAUACCCUGGUAGUCCACACCGUAAACGAUGAUUACUAGGUGUUGGAGGAUUGACCCCUUCAGUGCCGCAGUUAACACAAUAAGUAAUCCACCUGGGGAGUACGACCGCAAGGUUGAAACUCAAAGGAAUUGACGGGGGCCCGCACAAGCAGUGGAGUAUGUGGUUUAAUUCGACGCAACGCGAAGAACCUUACCAAGUCUUGACAUCCUGCGACGGACAUAGAAAUAUGUUUUUCCUUCGGGACGCAGAGACAGGUGGUGCAUGGUUGUCGUCAGCUCGUGUCGUGAGAUGUUGGGUUAAGUCCCGCAACGAGCGCAACCCUUAUCUUUAGUAGCCAGCGGUUUGGCCGGGCACUCUAGAGAGACUGCCAGGGAUAACCUGGAGGAAGGCGGGGAUGACGUCAAAUCAUCAUGCCCCUUAUGACUUGGGCUACACACGUGCUACAAUGGCGUAAACAAAGGGAAGCAAAGCUGUGAAGCCGAGCAAAUCUCAAAAAUAACGUCUCAGUUCGGACUGUAGUCUGCAACCCGACUACACGAAGCUGGAAUCGCUAGUAAUCGCAGAUCAGAAUGCUGCGGUGAAUACGUUCCCGGGUCUUGUACACACCGCCCGUCA